rnacentral:rRNA from 1 species
UACGUAGGGUGCAAGCGUUGUCCGGAAUUAUUGGGCGUAAAGGGCUCGUAGGCGGUUUGUCGCGUCGGGAGUGAAAACACCGGGCUUAACUCGGUGCUUGCUUUCGAUACGGGCAGACUAGAGGCAUGCAGGGGAGAACGGAAUUCCUGGUGUAGCGGUGAAAUGCGUAGAUAUCAGGAGGAACACCGGUGGCGAAGGCGGUUCUCUGGGCAUGUCCUGACGCUGAGGAGCGAAAGUGUGGGGAGCGAACAGG